AUGAGGACCCGCGUGUGCGCGCGCGUCGGCACGCCGCAGGGCGUCGGGGCACUGCUCCUCGUCGGGGGCGCGAUCGCCGGUGCCGCCGUCGUCGCGUGGCGGCGCCACGGUGACGGAAAGGGCGCCAAGAAGGACCGCCGCGGCAAGGAGGACGACGUUCUGGAUGGCGGGGUCGUGGAGAAGGAGCAGCAGAAGUCUGAUCAAUCUGAUGAGAAUCUGGGCAGGGAGGUUAGAGAGGUUGAAGCUGAUGGGUUCGAUGGUAAGGAAGUAGAGGAGCUUCAAGAGAUUCAGGAGCAGGUGGAUGAAAUUCUUGCUGAUGAAUUGGAUAGCAAACCUACAGAUAAUUUGGAUCCAAACGCAAGCCAGGAAAGUGCCGAGAUCAUUAAUGAUCCGGACAGUGAAGAUAUGAAGAAUCCUGACCAAAAUUCAGUGAAGAGCUGCGUCGAGAAUGAGGUCACACCAAAUGCCACCGAAGGUGUGAAGAAUUCCGAUGAAAGCUUUCUUCCCAUCAAUAGCCCGGAGAUCACCCAUGAAGAACAUAUCGGGCACGGCCAUGGCGGUGAUCAACAGACCUCAUCAACACAGAUGACAGCGCAUCAGUCACAGAUCUCAGAGCAACUGAAAGUGGAUACCAUGACCGAAACAGCAACGGUGGAGAAUGUGUCGAAGCAGAAACCGCCUGCACAAGAGCGGGUCGCGCCCAUCAACUCACCCGCAUGUCCUUCACUGCCAGCUCUGUUUAAACCAGCAGAGAAGAAGAGACCAGCGAACACGGGGUGGAAUGAGACAGGGAUGAAGCUUGGACAAGAUGGCGGCAGCAAGAAGGCAGCAGCAAAGGGUGUAGCCGUGGUGACCAUGGAUCGUAGAGCUGCUUCAAUGGCCAUUCUCGCCAUCAUCUUUGCAGUGACCAUUGGAGUAAACGUCGUCGUGCGCUUGUACUCCACUUUGCGAGCGGCAUGA
rnacentral:rRNA from 1 species